GGAAUAUUGGGCAAUGGGCGCAAGCCUGACCCAGCGACGCCGCGUGAGGGAUGAAGGCCUUCGGGUUGUAAACCUCUUUCAGUAGGGAAGAAGCGAAAGUGACGGUACCUAAAGAAGAAGCACCGGCUAACUAUGUGCCAGCAGCCGCGGUAAUACAUAGGGUGCAAGCGUUGUCCGGAAUUAUUGGGCGUAAAGAGCUCGUAGGUCGUUUGCCACGUCGAUUGUGAAAAUCUGAGGCUCAACCUCAGGCCUGCAGUCGAUACGGGCAAACUAGAGUGUGGUAGGGGAGACUGGAAUUCCUGGUGUAGCGGUGGAAUGCGCAGAUAUCAGGAGGAACACCAAUGGCGAAAGCAGGUCUCUGGGCCAUAACUGACACUGAGGAGCGAAAGCGCGGGGAGCGAACAGGAUUAGAUACCCUGGUAGUCCGCGCCGUAAACGAUGGGCACUAGCUGUGAGAACCUUCCACGGUUUUCGCGACGCAGCAAACGCAUUAAGUGCCCCGCCUGGGGAGUACGAUCGCAAGAUUAAAACUCAAAUGAAUUGACGGA
rnacentral:rRNA from 1 species